rnacentral:rRNA from 1 species
CUUAGUGGCGGACGGGUGAGUAACGCGUGAGUAACCUGCCUUGGAGUGGGGAAUAACAGUUGGAAACAGCUGCUAAUACCGCAUAACGGGGGAAGCCGCAUGGCUUUUCCCUGAAAACUCCGGUGGUACAGGAUGGGCCCGCGUCUGAUUAGCCAGUUGGCAGGGUAACGGCCUACCAAAGCGACGAUCAGUAGCCGGCCUGAGAGGGCGGACGGCCACACUGGGACUGAGACACGGCCCAGACUCCUACGGAAGGCAGCAG